rnacentral:rRNA from 1 species
AGCACCGAAUCCCGCGGCCGAUAUCGGACGCCGGGAAAUGUGGUGUUAGGGAGGAUCCGUUUAUCCCGAGGUCGUGCGGUGCGUCCAAGUCCUUCUUGAACGGGGCCACAGCCCAUAGAGGGUGCCAGGCCCGUAGCGACCGCUGCCGAUCGCGGGAGGAUCUCUCCUCAGAGUCGGGUUGCUUGAGAGUGCAGCCCUAAGUGGGUGGUAAACUCCAUCUAAGGCUAAAUAUGACCACGAGACCGAUAGCGAACAAGUACCGUGAGGGAAAGUUGAAAAGCACUUUGAAGAGAGAGUUCAAGAGUACGUGAAACCGUUCAGGGGUAAACCUGAGAAGCCCGAAAGGUCGAAUGGGGAAAUUCAUUCGCGUUUCGACCGUCGGCGUGGGAUGGUCGAGUGACGGACGGCGUACGCGUCGUCCGCGCCUUCCGUUCUUCGAACCGGCGUCGAACGCGUGCACUUUUCCCCUAGUAGGACGUCGCGAUCCGUUGGGUGUCGGUCUACGGCUCGCGGUGGAGCCCGUGCGGUCGCUUUACGGCGUAUCGCACGGACCCGCGGUGUCCCGGCCGACUCGCUCGACGGUAUACAGAUGGCGCGGGGCCGCUACUACAGUUAGCGUUCGGCCCGCGGCAAGCGCGUUCGUUGUAUGACGGCGAUCGGACCUGGUGCCGGUCCUGUCCGCGAACGACUGUUGGCUGCGGUGUUCUCGAACAGACCUCGUAACGAAACGCCGAUCUGCGACGCUAUAGCUUUGGGUACUUUCAGGACCCGUCUUGAAACACGGACCAAGGAGUCUAGCAUGUGCGCGAGUCAUUGGGACAUAACUAAACCUAAAGGCGUAAUGAAAGUGAAGGUCCGCCUUGCGCGGAUCUAGGGAGGAUGGGCGGUUUUUGAUGCCCUUAAAAGCGGCCGCUCCGCACUCCCGGGGCGUCUCGUUCUCAUCGCGAGAAGAGGCGCACCAAGAGCGUACACGCUGGGACCCGAAAGAUGGUGAACUAUGCCUGGUCAGGACGAAGUCAGGGGAAACCCUGAUGGAGGUCC